rnacentral:piRNA from 1 species
AACUCUCUGAAAUUUGCAAGAGUUUA